UGAUUCAAGCCCUUCUUAGACUUGACACAUUAAAAAUGGUUUCACUUUACUUAAAUAUUUUUAUUUAAGAAAUAAACCUAAGUAUAGUUCAUUAGUGUAACACAAAUUACAUUAAUCAAUUCACUUAUUAAAUGUAUUUAAGACAGAGCAACUCAAAAUGAAUUGUUUUCAUUGGGGACCGCCCCUUUGCACACCCCCUUUGCGUAUGCGCAACAUCCGUUCUGUCAUUUGCCGCCUUUUGUCUAACACUGACUGUGGAAACUGACUGGGGAAACUGACGGUGGAAAGUCUAUUAUUUGUUUGAUCAGCAUUAACAAGCACCUUGGGGAAACCUCUUAUUUAUGGUUAUGCAUGUGGCAGUGCAAACACUGCAGUUUGGAACUAGCUAGCAGAUUAAAAGGUGUUCCAUAACGGCAGGUCGGGCGCUUCUGCGCAUC